AACGAACGCUGGCGGCAGGCUUAACACAUGCAAGUCGAACGGUUGUAGCAAUACAGCAGUGGCAGACGGGUGAGUAACACGUGGGAACCUUCCUAGGGGGUACGGAACAACUCAGGGAAACUUGAGCUAAUACCGUAUACGUCCGUGAGGAGAAAGUAUUUAUCGCCCUUAGACGGGCCCGCGUCGGAUUAGCUAGUUGGUGGGUAACGCCUACCAAGGCGACGAUCCGUAGCUGAUCUUAGAGGAUGAUCAGCCACACUGGGACUGAGACACGGCCCAGACUCCUACGGGAGGCAGCAGUGGGAAUCUUGGACAAUGGGCGCAAGCCUGAUCCAGCCAUGCCGCGUGAGUGAAGAAGGUCUUCGGAUUGUAAAGCUCUUUGCCAGGGACGAUAAUGACGGUACCUGGAGAAUAAGCCCCGGCAAACUUCGUGCCAGCAGCCGCGGUAAU
rnacentral:rRNA from 1 species